UACAGAGGGUGCAAGCGUUGUUCGGAAUUAUUGGGCGUAAAGCGCGUGUAGGCGGCUUGGCAAGUCGGGUGUGAAAUCCCUCAGCUUAACUGAGGAAGUGCGCCCGAAACUGCCGAGCUUGAGUACCGGAGAGGGUGGCGGAAUUCCCCAAGUAGAGGUGAAAUUCGUAGAUAUCGGGAGGAACACCAGCGGCGAAGGCGGCGAUCUGGGUGGAAACUGACGCUGAGGCGCGAAAGUGUGGGGAGCAAACAGG
rnacentral:rRNA from 1 species